rnacentral:rRNA from 1 species
UACGGAGGGUGCAAGCGUUAUCCGGAUUUACUGGGUUUAAAGGGUGCGUAGGCGGCCAGGUAAGUCAGUGGUGAAAUCCCCGAGCUCAACUUGGGAACUGCCGUUGAUACUAUCUGUCUUGAAUACCGUGGAGGUGAGCGGAAUAUGUCAUGUAGCGGUGAAAUGCUUAGAUAUGACAUAGAACACCGAUUGCGAAGGCAGCUCACUACGCGGUCAUUGACGCUGAGGCACGAAAGCGUGGGGAGCAAACAGG